AUUGAACGCUGGCGGCAGGCUUAACACAUGCAAGUCGAGCGAGCGGCGGACGGGUGAGUAAUGUCUGGGAAACUGCCCGAUGGCGGGGGAUAACUACUGGAAAAGGUAGCUAAUACCGCAUACCAUCAGAUGUGCCCAGAUGGGAUUAGCUAGUUGGUGGGGUAAUGGCUCACCUAGGCGACGAUCCCUAGCUGGUCUGAGAGGACGACCAGCCACACUGGGACUGAGACACGGUCCAGACUCCUACGGGAGGCAGCAGUGGGGAAUUUUGCACAAUGGGCGCAAGCCUGAUGCAGCCAUGCCGCGUGUAUGAAGAAGGCCUUCGGGUUGUAAAGGACUUUCGGCAGGGAGGCGUUACUCGCAGAAGAAGCACCGGCUAACUCCGUGCCAGCAGCCGCGGUAAUUC
rnacentral:rRNA from 1 species